rnacentral:rRNA from 1 species
AUAGACUACGGGGCGCAGCAGUAGGGAAUCUUCCACAAUGGGCGAAAGCCUGAUGGAGCAACGCCGCGUGGGUGAAGAAGGUCUUCGGAUCGUAAAACCCUGUUGUUAGAGAAGAAAGUGCGUGAGAGUAACUGUUCACGUUUCGACGGUAUCUAACCAGAAAGCCACGGCUAACUACGUGACAGCAGCCGCGGUAAUACGUAGGCGGCAAGCGUUAUCCGGAUUUAUUGGGCGUAAAGGGAACGCAGGCGGUCUUUUAAGUCUGAGUUGAAAGCCUUCGGGUUAACCGGGGUAGUGCAU